CAACCUCCUCCCUUACACACCAGCACUGUGUCCUCUAAUCCCAGUUCUUAGUGUUUAAUUUACCACCUGGCACUGGUUUGGUUGGGACCGCUUGUGAUCAUUUGCCUAAUACUUUACCCAAAGGCAAAAUGGGGAAUCAUUCCCAUCAGGAAAUUAUUUAAACCUUGCCCUGUGACCCUCUGGGAGGGUGCAGUGAGGUUGUUGACAUGGCAUUGUUGCCUCCUACAUACGUUCACUGGGAAUACUUGGAUACUGUUAUGAUACAGUAACUAAUGAUUUACUUGCCCUGUUGGUUUUCGUAUCUGUAUUGUAUUUUCUCCUCUUACUGAUGCUUUUUCACUCCCUUACUCUUCCCUUUAUUACCACAGAGUGCCUUGUCCCUCUUUUCUCAUUGUUUCCCAUUAUCCUUCCAUAAUCCCAUUGUACAAUCUAACCAUCAUCUGCACUUCUCAUAGCCUUAACCUGAAAAAAGGUCCUGGCAGAUAUUAGAGCUAGCAAUGGUGAUGGAAGGUUUUUAGAGUAAAGGGUAAGUAAGAAAAUACAGGCUACUAAUGCAAAGAAGGAAUCUAAGAAAGAGGUUUGGCACAAAGAAGAAUAUGCAAUAUAAAGAAGUAAAUUAAAUUCUCCUAUUUACUUUUUCUCAAGGGAUCAUCUGUGAAACUCAAAGGCAGCAGAAAUAUUUUUCAAACAUAUAAUUAACCACAAAUGCAUUGCCAUAAAUCUAACAGAGGAAAAAAUUGAGCAUCUUACAAAAAUAGUAGACAAUUGGUAAAAUGUAGUUACUGGGCACCUCACAACUGCAUUGAGUGUGUUUAAUUACAGUGGUUUAACCUAACCUCAAAUUUUUGUUGUGGCCCACAGUAACUACUGUGUGAGCUGAUAAAGGGAAAAGAGUGAGGAGAAGUUAUACAAGCAGAUAAAUCUCCACUUCUCCUUCAUUGUGUUCAGGCCAUCAAAGCCUGAUUUCUAUGAAAGAAAAGCUAAUGUGCCAGUGAGGUCACUGCUCCAGCGUAGUACAGUAGUCUAUUUUCUGAUGCCUUGUCUUUUUAUCACAGUCAUAAGACCUGGAGAAUUCUCUUAUUCCUCUGAACUGAUGAGUGUGGAAAGAGAAAGCUGCAAGGAGACUUGAAGGCUUCAGAUCGAUACUUCAAGUAGGUGAUUAGUGGAUAUCAAGCAUCAGGGUUUGCAAUUAUCUAAUUCAAAAGUGAGGGAAGCGAUUGGAAGCGAGUUGCUGCAUGGGCUGAAAUAAUUAGAUCAUAUAAUUCUUCAACUGUAAAGUACAUAUUUUGCCAAGGAAUGCUGAAAGACGGAACAGAAGGCAUUAAGUACUCAUUUCAAAAAUUGCAGACAAUCAGUUUCAUAGGAUCAAAUGUCACUCUGAUUGAAAAUAUUGUCAAAAGAGAGAAGAGGAAAACACUGAUUUUGUAAGCCUGCAUAUUAAAUAUUUUUAUUCUGUCCCUGUGACUAGCAUUUGAAUAUAGGUGUCACAGUAGGUUAAAUCCCUUUGCCAGGCCUUACAGGCUCUUCAAUAUAAACAUCACUUGAGAUCAGCCCCUGCCCCACCAGCCACAUGAAGUUCAUCUGAUGUUUUUGCCGUGGCUGAAUUGUGUCAUGGCUGUGAUUGUGUCAGGUGCCCUGAUUCUGAUGGCAGGUGAAUCUGGAGAGAAAGCAAGAAAUGUAUUUCAAUUCUCAGCUGACUUUCUAUAGGACAAAAAGAGCAAUUUGGAAAUUAAAUAAAGUCCUCUGCAUGUUAUGUUAUCUUGCAGGUUUCCUGCAAUAGAAAGAGUUUGUGAAAGAAAGAACCUAAAGUUUUAAGUGGUAAUGUCAAUAAAAGGCAGUUGUCCAAACACCUGAAA